CAUGAAUUGGUCGUUUCUGGACGGUAACUGGACAGUGACCAUUUGAACGCAUGGAACUGAUCUGUCUCUUGUGAGUGUCGUGGGUAUAUAAGUGACUUCCGUUUUUGUUGGCAGUGUGCAGACAGAGAUGGAAUGCCUGCAGACAGACCUUCUGCAUCAGUGUGGGGUGGGUGUAAGUGCCGAACUUUAUGAUGACCAUUGUGGAUAGACAAAUGUGGUACCCACGUUUGGGAUACCCCUGCAGCAACCCAAUACAACCCUGACUGCUGCCAGCACUGCUAAAAAAUCCUUUUUGUAACUGGCACUGCAGGGUUAAUUCCCUUCCCUGUUGCCUGGCAAUGGCCACGGAGGGGACUGAACUGUGGGGCACUAGGAUCCAGAGUUGUGCAGACGGCCUGCAGGGAGCGCGAAGCGCUGGAGCCACCAGGAUUGGAGGGAGCUGCGCGUGAAGAGGAAAAAGGAGGGGCUGACCAGGAGGAAGAAAAGAAGCGGGUCCCGUGGCAAGAGGGAGAAUAUGGCAGGUGUGCGCACAGUAACCAGCGGCAGCCAGAGAGACUGAGCCGCGUCGCGCCGGCGUAUGAGAAAGCCGCCGGCCGCCUGCCAUUGCAGUGGGGACAGAGAGCCGCCAUGUGGAGAGAGAACAGGGAGAGGUGCAGCUAAUCGUGACUCCGCACAGGCCUCCACUGCUACGCUGGAUGACGGAGGAAGAAGGAUGGACAGUAGCCGUCCAGGGAGAGACUUGUGCACCGCAGGCAGCCGGCACUGAGGUACCAGCAGCAGAGAGGGGGAAACGGGAUCCGGGCAGCCAGUACCCGUAGAGGCAGUGGUGAUCAGUGCACUGAGGCUCCUGUAAGAAUACAGACCAUCACUGCAGGGUACUCCUCGUCCUUCUGCCCCAGCCAUACAGGUGACGGAAGAAUAGUCGCUGGUCUCGACAUCGUGGAAGAGUGGAUUCAGCUGACAACUAACACGACUGAACUUCAGGCACAAAAGCCAGAAGACAAAAACAAGAGAACACUUUAUGUAAGAACAAUUUUUUUUUUUUCAUACUGGGCACAGGAAUGACAAUACAAGCUUGUGUCUAGCCAGACAAAAUGGAUGCAGACUUUGAAAAAUCUGUGGGCAAAAUUUAAACAAGUGCAUUGGAACGCCUACAAGGCCCCUACGCGAAGAAUCAGCAGCAUUCCAGGCAGUUCCCACAGGCAGUGUGAAAAACGUAGAGGCAGUCCGCUUGCCUUGAAUUUAUCUUUUUAAAUAUUAUUUAUCAUGAACAUAGAAAUAAUAACACUCAGGCUCAAGUUGACUUUAUUUUAAGACAGAUCUUGGUGUAUUCAGAUGGACUGCAUGAGCUAGUACUGCAUAUGGCAGGUAAAUGUGAACACGCUGCUAUACCCCAUUUCUUUCUGUUUUUAUUGAUGAAAAUGUGUGAAAGUCAGCUUAUAAGACAAAAAGCAAGAAGUUAGAAAGUAACCCUUACUUGUAGCUCUGAGCUAAACAAAAUACAACAGACUACUGCAUGCAAGCAGACUGUUCCUUCCCUUCAUAAUAGGCCCAGAGUCUCUUCUCAACUCCCCUUUUGUUUCAAAUCAGUCCACAUUUCACUUAGAUAUAAACCUGCCUGGGGGCUUGGCCUUUUACCGUCUGAAAGCCGCAUCCAUCUGUUUCUCAUAAAGAACGUGUAACCUCUUCAGCACUGCAUGGGUUAAAGGUUUUGGAAUACAUCAAUCCAUAAAAAACCCACAAAUGAGUAGCACUCACAGCUGCGUUGUCUUAAAUAGCUGCAUUUACUCAAUAGUUAUUUGAGAAUAGUUGAAACUCACUGCAACAAUACAAACAUCUGGAUAUUAAAUACUACCUAACCAAUUAUGUAACAGGAACAAUAUAAAACAAAA